CAGUGGGGAAUUUUGGACAAUGGACGCAAGUCUGAUCCAGCCAUGCCGCGUGCGGGAAGAAGGCCUUCGGGUUGUAAACCGCUUUUGUCAGGGAAGAAAAGGUUCUGGUUAAUACCUGGGACUCAUGACGGUACCUGAAGAAUAAGCACCGGCUAACUACGUGCCAGCAGCCGCGGUAAUACGUAGGGUGCAAGCGUUAAUCGGAAUUACUGGGCGUAAAGCGUGCGCAGGCGGUUAUGCAAGACAGAGGUGAAAUCCCCGGGCUCAACCUGGGAACUGCCUUUGUGACUGCAUAGCUAGAGUACGGUAGAGGGGGAUGGAAUUCCGCGUGUAGCAGUGAAAUGCGUAGAUAUGCGGAGGAACACCGAUGGCGAAGGCAAUCCCCUGGACCUGUACUGACGCUCAUGCACGAAAGCGUGGGGAGCAAACAGGAUUAGA
rnacentral:rRNA from 1 species